UACGUAGGGCGCGAGCGUUGUCCGGAUUUAUUGGGCGUAAAGGGCUCGUAGGCGGUCCAUCACGUCGGGAGUGAAAAGCUGGGGCUUAACCCCAGUCCUGCUUCCGAUACGGGUGGACUAGAGGUAGGCAGGGGAGAACGGAAUCCUGGUGUAGCGGUGAAAUGACGCAGAUAUCAGGAAGAACACCGGUGGCGAAGGCGCUCUGCUAGGCCGCAACUGACACUGAGGGACGAAAGCUAGGGGAGCGAAUGGG
rnacentral:rRNA from 1 species